rnacentral:misc_RNA from 1 species
AAGGCGUAGCUGAACCUGCGGAAGGAACAUUAACACGGAUUCAAACUGUAAAACUCCCCCCGUGAACAUUCAUCCUACUCUUGUAACCCUCGAAGCUUUGCAAUCUCUGGUAAUCAUUCCCGGAAAGUAGUUUUGAUUCAGAGACCUCUGGCCCGUGAGAGUAUUGGAACGGUUACAAUUUUGAGCGGUAGUUCUAGAGGCCGCCUUGAGCAGUCAGUGUAUGUGUCAUUGAUUGCGCAAGGAUAACGCUCCACGGUUCUUGUAGACCGCAUCUCAGCAGGCAGGAGCUAGGCCAAAGGGUCCCCAACAGGCCAAUGUGAAGCUCAAUGUAAUACAUUAACUGUUAACGAUCGAUAUCUUGGUUCUG